rnacentral:rRNA from 1 species
AGUGAACGCUGGCGGUAGGCCUAACACAUGCAAGUCGAACGGCAGCACAGUAAGAGCUUGCUCUUACGGGUGGCGAGUGGCGGACGGGUGAGGAAUACAUCGGAAUCUACUUUUUCGUGGGGGAUAACGUAGGGAAACUUACGCUAAUACCGCAUACGACCUACGGGUGAAAGCAGGGGAUCUUCGGACCUUGCGCGAUUGAAUGAGCCGAUGUCGGUUUAGCUAGUUGGGGGGGUAAAGGCCCACCAAGGCGACGAUCCGUGGCUGGUCUGGGAGGAUGGUCAGCCACACUGGAACUGAGACACGGUCCAGACUCCUACGGGAGGCAGCAGUGGGGAAUAUUGGACAAUGGGCGCAAGCCUGAUCCAGCCAUACCGCGUGGGUGAAGAAGGCCUUCGGGUUGUAAAGCCCUUUUGUUGGGAAAGAAAAGCAGCAGGUUAAUACCCCGCUGUUCUGACGGUACCCAAAGAAUAAGCACCGGCUAACUUCGUG